GUCAGUUUGUCAGCCUUGUACUUGAUGCUUCAUUGUCAGAGUGUGUUCUGGGAUUUAAGCCCUGUUCGUGUUGCGUGGUUUUUGGCUGCUUGGCUGCCUCUGCCCGUGGGAUCCCCCAGCAACCCAAGCAUCACUGGGUGCAGGGCACUGCUCACCUCCAGCCAAAGGAUGAGCAACUGUGGGUGCAAGUGUGAUAACGUAGGGCUGGGGCUUCUCCUGGAGGGGUUUCUCUGGGGGUCCCACAGCCAUCUCACUUGGGUUUCAGCCUUUCCUGGUGGAGUGACAGUUUCACAACCCUCUCCAUGCCGACACUCCAUUACCAGCGUCAGCACCGCAUUCCCCCGCCGCGCCUGGCAGCCAGCUCGUUACUUUUAGACUGCGUUAAUCAUGGGAGCCUCAUUAUAAGGGAAAGAUUCAUGAAGGCUUAUCUUCCUUCCCAAGGUCUGCUUCACAAGGGUGGUAGAAGGUAAUUUACUGAUUUUUAGUAACUGCCAUAUGUUGGCCUGCGAAGUCCUUGGGUGUGAAGAGCGCUCCCCAUACACACGUUCCCCCUCGUUCCGAAGCACUCAGCGAGGUGCUGCUGAUCUGCAGGGAGGCGGAACCAGAUUUUCUCUUCAAGCUUUGCUCCUUUUCCAUCAAACUUUCAGAGUUGAGCCCAAAGUUUUGGUAGGAAGAAAAAUGCAGUUAGGAACCCAAAUGGAGGCAUGUAACACCUCAUGGAGACUAUUAAAAACAAGCACUGGAAAGAAAGCGUGCCAUAAACCAAAGCCCUUCUGAAAGCUCUGAGUCUGUUACAUAUUAGACUGUACUCUUCUAAAACAGAAGUGACUGCACCAAAUAGGGGCCAUUAUUGUUUAAAUAUUUCCACUGGGAAAUGCUGCACGAAGCGAAGGUGCAAUCGCUGCCUGACGCAGGAUGCGCUGGAGAAAGUUGGCACCGGUGUGUUUGUAGGGAGUGGAAUAUGCUUGUAGAGAUUAUUCCAGAUUUACAAUGAUUAAUAAUGGAUUGGACAUGGCAGACUUCAAAGGGUUUGGCUGCCUUGCCGUGCGGUGGUAUGCGGUGUUAAAAUAAAACAGCAGAUUAUCUCCAGUGGUUCAAACAACUUUUUUUCUCAGGGAGCAGGACAUUUGCCAGGCUGAUACCAGCUCCAUGCCCAGGGCUGUACAUGGGGUAAUGGUGCAGGGACCUCCCCAAGAUGCAUGCACACGAACCUUGCUGAGCGCCCUGGUGCACAGCAGAGCUCCAUCCUCACCCUGCCUUGAGGCAUCCUACCUGUCCUACAAAGGACAGCAUCAGAAACUCAAAACUUGUAAAAUUAAGAAUAGCUCUAAAAUAAUUAUGCUCUCAAAGAUCAAAUGAGAUCCGGCGUGCUCUCUGCCUGCAUCCUUUCUUCCCUGCUCAUUGGUACUGGAUCAAGAAAAGAUGGGAAGUGCAAGCUACCACAGAGCUCCAGACGAUUGUAUUUUAUACAUGAUAAAUGUUUCAGUAUUAAUCAGACGUUAUUGAGCACUGCAGAUGGGAGGCAUCUCGAGCCGAUGAAGACGUUUUCCUGCUAUCUGCCAUUAUCUGGGUGUCUGGAAGAAUUCAGGAGGAGCUCUCAUCCCGCCUCCAGGCAGGGCUUAUGGGAUUUGCACCAGUCCCAGUUGCCAUGGAGAAAGUGUUAGAUAGCUUUAAUACAUCUGUGUGAAUCUCUCCCCGGAGUUUUCCCAUGACAAGCUGGACUGGAGGUAGCAAGUAAGAAGCUAUAAUCUUCCAACUGUAUGAAAAAAUGAUUGAUGGGAUGCAAGAAGUGCCAACAGCUCAGCAAGGCAGGGGCAGUGAAACGGGGGUGCAGAUGCCGGGGCUCUCCAGCUGCCUGGGCACCUCCAGCAGCCACAUCCUAAACUGGGGCUCCUCAAAAGGGGCAGGAGAGCAGAGGUGUGAUUCCGGAGGAAAAUAAGAUGGGUGGGGAUUAGAGAGCACCACACAACCCUGUGACAUGCAUUGGACCCAGGCUGAGCCUUCCCCCAACCCAUCAGCUCCUGUCAAUGUAUGCUUUCCCACUGCCUGCUCAGUGUGGGGUUCAGCUCUGUAAGCCCCCAGUGAGCAUCCUCCCAGGUCCCCACUCUCCUGCACCAUGUCCCUGACAGCCCCUCACCCGCAGCCCAGGCGUGCAUCUUGGUAUGUCUCCUUCUGUCAGUACAGCCAACGCUCCUGCUCCGCCGCCUCCUGAUUAACAUGCAUUCAACAGGAAUUAUAGCAGAGGAAAAGAAAUGUUUGUUUUUGCAUCAACGUAUUCCAAUUUGAAAAUCCCGAUGUUUACAUUUGCUUGUUUGCUUUUUAAGUUGAUGCAAGUACGAACGACUUAUAAAAACAAAGGAAAAUGUAAUUUUCUACGCUGCACGCCCAGAAGCACGUUUGUUCACCUGUGUAGCAGAAAUGCUAAGUCACAGCUUGCACCAGUGAUGGAGCACCUGGUGGGAAGGCAGGGCCAGCCCAGGAGAGCUCAGCUGCAUGCAAUGUACCUGAGUGACCAGAAGGGCUGGAGCCAGGAUCGACCCCUUCCCAGCCCUCAUUUAAGGGUUGGCAGUGGCAGCAAGGGGAUCUUGCAGGAGAUUGCUGUGUACUUGAGGCCUUCCAAGGAUCCAUCAAUUUGCCUGACUUUUCACCUGAAGACUGUGCGAUAUAGAACAUGAUGGGAUCAAGGAAAUUAGAGCUGGAAAUCUCUCAAUGAGAGAUGAAGUCACCGGAAAACUAUGAGGAUCGCAUCCUGCGGAGGGGAGGGAGACACAGCAAACCACGUGCUUCGAUGACAAGCUGGGGUUAAAAAGUAAUUAAUUAGCUAGUUUAUGGUGUUUUCCCAUCUGAAAUUAAAAACAAAAAUUAUGCAGAACAUAUGAGGUAAUUAGGAAAGCAGCAAGCUACAACACACCUUCAAAUGAGAGCUCUAAAAGGCAUGAUGUUUGGCAGCAGGUUUUUAAUGUAACAGCCAUUAAGGGCUUAUGCCCUCGAUUGCAUUCCUGGGAACAUCCAUCACACUCCAGCCUUCCCUUAUGGAUCCAGGUAGGGCCCUCGCAAAACCCAAAUUUUUAAUGUUCUUGGUGCUUAGCCAUGAUCAGAUUUCCCAUUUAAAAUCUAUUAGCCAAGAUGAGAAAAUUGGUUCAUAUUUUAUGUGCCUGGAUUAAUUUUUUUUCUUUGCAUUUACAACUGGCCCCUCGUGUUCCAUCCACCCCCUGAUGAUUUAGCUGUGCAAGAUGUUCCACCAAUUUAUUAGAGUGGAGUGUAUGGAGCAGGUCAUGCAUAUUAAGCAUCAAGUUUUUACUACAGUUGGUUCAAUAAUCUGAAAGAAAAACAUUUUUUUAAAAAAAACUAUUUUACUGUGUACCAGCUGCUGCUCCUGGAAGGGCCGUUCCUCUCACACUGGAUGAUACUUGUGGACAGCAGCAUCCCAACCCUGCUCUACCCAAACACCAACAGAUUUCACCACCUCUCUGGACACCAGAGCCUGUUCACCCAUGUGUCAACUUCAGCGAUGGGUGCUGGACUUGGGAGCUGUCCACACCGGCAGUGCUGAACUCUGGGUGCCACCCACAGCCGCUCAACUUUCCAAUUACACUUUUGCUGCUCGAGUUUCCAAUUAUGCCUUUGUCACCUGUAUCAGUCACUGUAAGUGUGUAUUUGCUGGCCCACCUUUGGUUAGAAUGGGAUUCAACUGACAACAUUUUUCUUGUGCUGAUCUAUGGAGCUGUUGCUGAGAUACUAACCCCAGCAUGCUGUGGGAGUAUGGCCCUGCUUCAUCCAUAGCAUGGGGUUUGUUCCCAUACUGUGAAUGCAAUCAGAGAGAAAAUAUUCCUGAGAUAUGGCUGGCUAAUUAACACAUUACCAAUUGCUGCUUCUCUGCUUCCAGAUUUCUUUGACUCGACAAGCUCCAAAUCAUAGUAAAAUCAGAAUUUUUCAGGACCAUGAAGCCCUGCACUUCCUUGCCAAGCUGGGCAGCUUGCUGUGCACUGCAGCUCAUGUUUACUUCCUACCAACACCAAAAAUAGCACCAGGGCUGUGACUGGCAGCCCAUCCCAGUAAUUAGCCACAGGAUGCCUGCUGCCCAUGGGAGCCAACGGAGGCUGUAACAAAAGGGAAAUGGCAGCAAACAGCCUGUGAGCAUGAGCCAAGCAUCUUCUGCUGCCGAAGCGCCUGCACUGCAUCCCAGUGGCUCUGCACUGGGGCCCUGGAUACGGUCUAUGCUGUCUCAUCUGCCGGCGUCUCCACACGAGCGCGACGUGCCGACGUGGAGUGCUCCCAGCUGUGUCCGUGCAUCAGAAUGACAACAGGGACCAUGAAGCAAAGCGCACCUGCACCAGAGCCGUUCUGCAGCCAGUGCUGAUCUUGGGCAGGGUUAAUCGCAUCAUCUUCUGGACACAGGAACUGCUACAUAAAUCUGAUCAGACCAAUAGGUUUAGGUGAAGCUCAGCCCAAAUUUAUGGAGAUUGUGGCUUCGGCACAGGAAACCAGGAUGCCUUUGGACCAAAGAUCUGAGCCGUGCGUUCCUCCACGCUUUCCCCCUUUCAAGGUAAGCCAAUGCCAGGUGAGCCAAGCCCAGUGCAAUAGAUGAAAUCAGAUUGGAGCUUCCUCCACUGCGUGACAGCUUCAAGCCACAAUUUCAGCAAAGGGGAGGAGCCAGCGGUGAGUUCUCCUCCCAGCACUGAACCUGGUGACAAGGACACUGGGGACACUGGUGGUGCCAUGGGCAAGGUGCAGGGACACAGAGAUGGCUCCUGAGGGACAAACACGGCAGAGAGUGGCAGCGUUGGGACAACAGGGACCCAGUAACACCGUGCACAAGGAGCCCUGCCACUAAGCCGGGCUGAAACCUGGAGAGGAGCCUUGCCAUCUGGUGGCAUUGAAGCCCUGCCUGCAGCAGGACCCAGCUUCUCAGGGCAGGAAUGAGUCUGGAAGCAAAGCUUGUGCCAGCCCCGGUAAAAAAGUAAAUUCAUUUUAAAAACUCAGUUAAGCAAAUGCUUAACUUUUAGGGUGUGAAUAAUGCCUCUGCCUGCACUGGGACUGUAGAUCUGCUCAAAGUUAUGCACGCUCUAAGUGCGUUUUGGAGCGGUGCCACCCGGCGCUCGCUGCCGUUCCAUAAUGAACUUGGUUCUUUGCAGGCUGCAAAAUGAGCACUCAAAAAUUCAGCUUUGGGGACCUUCAUAUUUUCCAAAGUGUUAAAGUGCUUUCUUUUUAAAUAGCAAGUUUCCAUUUAGAAAAUAGGCUGUUCCACAGAUAGCGUUAUACAUCUUCUGCUACCGGGGUGUUUUGCACAGCGCUGCACGGGAACAUCAUAAAAACCAUGUGCUUAGCAGAGUGAAACUGCUGACUCCGUUGCCCUGGUCAAAGGAAACUGUCCGUCUUCAUCACCUCCUCAUUCAUCAGGAGGGGGCUGGCAGUUUGGGGCCGUUCUGCACUGCUCAUCCCAGAUGCAGAGCUGGGAACGCUGAUUCCAUGGGAGCUCUUUGGGGAUGCGGAGCUGCAGGCUUGGCCCAAUCCAGGCACUGGAAGGCUCAGGUCAGCACUCACCUCUCCUCUUUUUCCACCCCAGGCAGCUCGCUGCCUCUCUCCCAGAGGUCACGUUGCCAUCAGACGAGGCAGAAUAGAGCUGCUUUAUUCUGACCAAGGUGGCUCUUGAAUUUUCGCACUACACUCAAAAUUUGUUCAACCGUGGGAUGGUGUUUUUCUCCUUGCCAGCUCUGGAAUAUCCACUGAGAAGCCAUUUAUCAGCACUGUGUGCGCAUCCAAUCUCCAGGGCCCUCUGCUUCACCUCCCAUUAUUGGCCAUCUCCUCAGCACUUAAUGAGGCAGGUAUUUUGUACAAAGAGCCUAAUGAAUUUGAAAAGUUUUUGACCCUUUUAUUGCAAUAUCUCAAAUAUCAUGCAUCUGGAAAAUGGUUUUAAUGUUGCAUAGACAAUUACAGCUGGGUGUAUUUAUUCUAGGCAUUCUGCUCUGCGAUGUUUAACAGUGGUGGGAGCGCAGCCAGCAAGCUGCAGCAGGGGGAUGCUCAGCGGGCAGGGCUCCGCCAUGGAGGGAGGCCUCCAUUCAAAUGCCCUUCCCAAUUUGGGACCAAUUUACAUUGGCUGUGGGACCCCUCUGGGCACAGCUGGGACAGAUCUCAGGGACGAUGCAUGGGUUAAAGAAGAGGUUUUGGACAACACAGGUUUUUCUACAAGGAAAUGAAGAGUUUGGUGACCUGGAGAUGACAGCAGCUUUUAAGGGCAAGGCAGCAAAUUGUCCCUCGUUCAGCAGCCGUGCUCCAGGGGGACACUUGGGCUGUGCCAGCAAUGCAUUGCUGCCCUGCCCGAGGCUGGCACUGGGGCUGAGGUUUGGGGUCAGUUUGGGAACUUCCAUCACUUUCCUGGGAUGGACGCAUCCGUGGGGCCAAACGCUGAUGAAUUCCCUCAAUUCUGCUCUGGGGAGAGGUGUGGGGCAGAGGGUUGGGGGUGUAUAGCCUCCUGCCCCCCACUCCCCCAGGCAGGUGGGAGGCCACAGCCUCCGCUCUCUGGGGUUUCUGUUUUAAGUUGCUCCUUUUCCUCCGUCUGCUUUGUCCAAGCACUUUGUUCCUCAGCCAUUUAUGUUUUAAAAGAAAACCAAGAUAAAAUCUCCCGUCCCCCAGGGGACACUAAUUGCUGUGACUUCGGAGCACGCUGGGCUGUAAUUAUAUUUUUUGCUCGGCGGCUGAUGGACCACAUCUAACCCUCAGGGGGAGGGGAGGGACGCACUGGCUCCAGAUGAGCCCCCAAGCACCAGGAGCGUGCUCCCCAUCCCCAUGCAAUGCACCAGGAGGGGCAAAACCAGGAGGAAAUGAAUGCACGUGGUGCGGGCAAAGCAAACCAUGAGCCAACAGAACGUGCACACGGCUUCUGCCAUCAGAUGCUUGCUGCACUCUCAGAAUGCUUUGUUGAAGAUGCAGCUCCAAGGCCAAGCAGAGCCCUCGGUGCUCCCAAGAUGGAACCCAUUCUCAUGUCACCAGCCCUGCUCCAUCCCCAUCACCCUUACACUACGCCCUGAGUCCAGCUGGUUGGUGUUUGCUGGCAGGGCGGACCCAUUAGCUCAUGGCAAUACCCACUAUAAUUUUCAGGUCUGUUAAAUAUGAUUUAAAUAUUUUUUAACUCAUUAGUAAUAAUUUAGAAUGGUCC